rnacentral:lncRNA from 1 species
GAUUAGGGUUUUCUAAUUACUUAACAUUAAAUUAGAAUUAAUAUAUCCUAAUUAACAUUAAAAUAUUCAAUUAACACUUUCAUUUUUCCCCAUUUACAAAUUAGGGUUUCAAAUCCAUCAUUAGAGCUUCAAAUUUGGAAUUAGGGUUUUGUAAUCAAUUUGUUAAGAUUAACCCUAAUUAAUCCUAUAAUUAUUUACACUUAUGCCAUUAAGUUCCCGAUUUAGGGUUUCAUGCACCGAAUUAAGGUUUCGGAUUUCCGGAACUGAAACUAGGGUUUUCAGAACCGAUUUCUAGGGUUUC